rnacentral:rRNA from 1 species
GACGAACGCUGGCGGCGUGCUUAACACAUGCAAGUCGAACGAUGAAGAAGAGAAACGCGAACUUCGGUUCAAAUUUCACUUCGGAUUAGUGGCAGACGGGUGAGUAACGCGUGAGCAACCUACCUCUUACAAAGGGAUAGCCUCGGGAAACCGUGAUUAAUACCAUAUGACACAUUCAUAAGGCAUCUUAAGAAUGUUAAAGCUACGGCGGUAAGAGAUGGGCUCGCGUCCCAUUAGCUAGUUGGUGAGGUAACGGCCCACCAAGGCGACGAUGGGUAACCGGGCGGAGAGGGUGACCGGUCACCUUGGAACUGAGCCACAGUCCAAACUCCUACGGGAGGCAGCAGUGGGGAAUAUUGCACGAUGGAGGGAACUAUGAUGCAGCGACGCCGCGUGAGCGAUGAAGGAAUUCGUUUCGUAAAGCUCUGUUCUAUGGGAAGAAAAGGACUGUACCAUAGGAGAAAGCCCCGGCUAAAUACGUG